GCUCAAUUUUAAAUUCAACUCAACCUCUGUAUUGAGCCACCACCGUCUUCGUCGCGCCAUAGGUCGCCUCUGGCAGCGGCGGAGGGCCAACCACUGAAAAUCACAUACCAUCAUCUUCGUUGCUUCCUCCUCCAUAAUUUCUAGUCCUAAGCCCUAACCGAAUUGAAUCCUUCUAUGAACCCUAAGUAAAGAAACUUAAAUUAAAUUGUCACCAUAUUCAGAAUUGAUCAAUAACCAUGGGGCUAAUGGUCUACUACCUUCAACCAACCAACCGGUAACAAGAAUUUGAAGAAAUGAAGUGAAAUGGCACGAGCUUAUCGGAGCAGAUCGGAGUUCAAGGUGCACCAAGAGCAAGGGUUGUUACAAGCUUAAAGUUUGGCCAUGAUUGAAGCUUGGCAUGGAGGUUCACUAUGAGAACUUGAAGAAAUCCAAAGUUGCUUGCACAUGAAGAAAGGUUUUUCCAUGGAAUCAAAUGGAAUGAUGCAAGAAUGAAGACACGAUGGGUCAUUAGGGUUAUGAAUAUAGAGAUUAGGUAAGUUGACUUUUGUCAAUCAGUUGACCAAAAAGUCAACAUUUGACCAAAAGUCAAUUGUAGGCUAAACUUUGAUUUUUUGUAUUUCUUUCUUGUAUGGAACUUGGUAGAUGUAUUUUGUAUGAUGUCAAAACUAUGACACUUUAUCUUUAAUGUAUAUUGGACAUUAUCAUCUGA